rnacentral:rRNA from 1 species
GACGAACGCUGGCGGCGUGCUUAACACAUGCAAGUCGAACGGAAAGGCCCUGCUUUUGUGGGGUGCUCGAGUGGCGAACGGGUGAGUAACACGUGAGUAACCUGCCCUUGACUUUGGGAUAACUUCAGGAAACUGGGGCUAAUACCGGAUAGGAGCUCCUGCUGCAUGGUGGGGGUUGGAAAGUUUCGGCGGUUGGGGAUGGACUCGCGGCUUAUCAGCUUGUUGGUGGGGUAGUGGCUUACCAAGGCUUUGACGGGUAGCCGGCCUGAGAGGGUGACCGGCCACAUUGGGACUGAGAUACGGCCCAGACUCCUACGGGAGGCAGCAGUUGGGAAUAUUGCACAAUGGGCGGAAUCCUGAUGCAGCAACGCCGCGUGCGGGAUGACGGCCUUCGGGUUGUAAACCGCUUUCGCCUGUGACGAAGCGUGAGUGACGGUAAUGGGUAAAGAAGCACCGGCUAACUACGUG